UACGUAGGGGGCAAGCGUUGUCCGGAUUUAUUGGGCGUAAAGCGCGCGUAGGCGGCGCGGUAUGUCGAGCGUGAAAUCUCCCGGCUUAACUGGGAGGGGCCGUGCGAAACUGCCGGGCUUGAGGUCGGAAGGGGAAAGUGGAAUUCCGGGUGUAGUGGUGGAAUACGUAGAUAUCCGGAGGAACACCGGUGGCGAAGGCGGCUUCCUGGACCGACACUGACGCUGAGGCGCGAAAGCUAGGGGAGCAAACGGG
rnacentral:rRNA from 1 species